rnacentral:rRNA from 1 species
CCCUUAGAUGUUCUGGGCCGCACGCGCGCUACACUGACGAUGUCAGAGAGUGUCUCCUUCACCGAGAGGUGUGGGUAAUCUUUUAAACAUCGUCGUGCUGGGGAUAGAUCAUUGCAAUUUUUGAUCUUAAACGAGGAAUUCCUAGUAAGCGCGAGUCAUCAGCUCGCGCUGAUUACGUCCCUGCCCUUUGUACACACCGCCCGUCGCUACUACCGAUUGAACGGUUUAGUGAGGGCCUCGGAUUGGUCUCGGCCCGCUCUUUACCGGGCGGCGCCGUUGGUCGAGAAGACGCUCGAACUUGAUCGUUUAGAGGAAGUAAAAGUCGUAACA